ACAAAAUUCCAGAGCAGUAGCAUUGUUCACAUCACCCUGAUACUCCAGAAUACAUUCACAAGAAUUAUUAAGCAAAAAGUGGGUGAGACAUCAACCACAAGAAAUGAAGAUGGUUCUUAAGUACAGGAAAGAGAUGUGGGAUCAAACAGGGCAACAGAGGAAAGUGAGGCACAAGAAUGCAAUGAAGACAAUAAUAUCUUAACUUUGCUACAGAAUAUCCCAAAGGAGCAAGUGUUGAAUACUUGGAUUGACACCAUUGGUGGAGCAAAGAAAGGAAGAGUGUAUGGUCUUGGCUCAAAGACUUCAGUUCUAGGAGAAUUAACCCAUGUUAGUUCUGUCCACUCUAAUGCUCCAACUCCU
rnacentral:misc_RNA from 1 species